GACGAACGCUGGCGGCGUGCCUAACACAUGCAAGUCGAACAGUUGCGAACGCGUGAGUAACGCGUAGGUAACUGCCUCAUAGCGGGGGGUUACUAUUGGAAACGAUAGCUAAUACCGCAUACUGUGAGCAGGACCUGCGUUGUAUUAGCUAGUUGAUGAGGUAAAAGCUCACCAAGGCGACGAUACAUAGCCGAGCUGAGAGGGGGAUCGGCCACACUUGGACCGUGGCCCGGCCCCGACUCCUAAGGGGGGCAAGAGUAGGGGAACUUUGCAAAUGGACGGAAGUCUGACCGAGCAAAGCCGCGGGAGUGAAGAAGGUCUUUGGAUUGUAAAGCUAUGUUGUGAGAGAAGCGUUACCUAAACAGAAAGCGACGGCUAACUACGUGCCAGCAGCCGCGGUAAUAC
rnacentral:rRNA from 1 species